GACAGAGGAUGCAAGCGUUAUCCGGAAUGAUUGGGCGUAAAGCGUCUGUAGGUGGCUUUUCAAGUCCGCCGUCAAAUCCCAGGGCUCAACCCUGGACAGGCGGUGGAAACUACCAAGCUAGAGUACGGCAGAGGGGGGUGGAAUUCCACGUGUAGCAGUGAAAUGCGUAGAGAUGUGGAGGAACACCGAUGGCGAAGGCAGCCCCCUGGGCCGAUACUGACGCUCAGGCACGAAAGCGUGGGGAGCAAACAGG
rnacentral:rRNA from 1 species